GCCAGGUUUUAUAAUGAGAAACCCUAUUUAGCUGUCUAACCCAGUCACGAAAGGGUUAACUUUCAUUUUGUAUCUUUGAUGGACUUGUGAGUGAGCCAAUGGGUGAAUUUUAUGAGGUACUGAACUGACCAAUCAGCUGCCAGCUAGGCUCCGUUACAGUUACGCCUCUAGUUUUGUGUCACUGCACGUUCUUUUGGCGCUUGCACUUGAGCAUAGAAGGCUGCGUUAUCUGCUUGAGUGUAAACGAAAGCUGUGCCUGAAUCCACUGUUAUCACGGAGCUAAAAGCAGUGAAUUCCAUUAAAAUGGUCAGGUUUUGGUAAAGAGUUGGAAACAUCGUGCAGAGAUCCUUUCCACGGAGUGAUACAGAUCCACACGUUCCAGACGUUCUCCCAGAGAUUCAUAGAUUCCCAGUCCGGGUGGCUGGGUGGCGAGCCAACCGUGUUUGUGACUCUGACUUUAGACGAACUGCCUGGAUCAUCCUCUUCAUCUUCGUUGUGGUAGGACAAAAACUAACUCAGAGUUAAAAAAAAAAGGGCCCCAACGGUGAAACUGAACUUCUGUCAACCAAGGCAAAACGAACCGAGGACGAACUGAGCUCAACGAUUCUGAUACGAGAGGGUUUUGUUUUGUUUUUGUGCGCACUUUAUUAUUUUAGUUUGAUAUUUUUCAUAAAUGUGUUUUUGCUUGUAUGUAUGUUUCACCCUGUGAAUUUAAUACAGGUUUGUCUAAACUGUCAUUCUGGUGUGGUAUUCCUUUUUAAUUGAUCUUCAAUUCUCAGGCUCUUAACAAUUUAGCGUCUUCUGAUUCUGGUCCAAAUCGUAUUUAUGAUAACCUCUAUGACUACUUUAGACUAUUAAAUCUAUGUACGUUAUUACUACCUCGUAAUAAGGGUUACAUUAUUGGCGAGCCAGCCAGGAGCCAGAGACAUUGAAUAUCAAUAUUGAAAGAAUACGCAAAAUGGAUUUCAUACAGAAGUCAGGUGUUAAAAUUCCAAAUUCAGUGAUCGUUAGUGGGGUAACACAGGUAGCAGAUCAGGAUGAGCAAGUCGUUGACUUCCUUAGGGAGUACGGUUCCAUCGAAGUAGCCAUUCUCGUUGAUGAUUCUAAAUCAGAAUUUUACCAAAACCUGAUCAUUGAGUUUUCGAGCGGUUCAGCUUUAGUGAACUUAGAGCCACUUUUGCCAUUCACACACACAGUGCAGGGUGAUCCAUGUGCUAAAUAUGUUGUAAAAGCAUUAAGCAGUGUGUACACUACGCAGAUUGGCAGUAAUGCUACAAAAACGUAUCUAGCUGAGUUAAAGGGCUUAGCCAAGCUAAGUGGAAAAGACUAUGGGGAGGUGUUGAA